UGUUUUAACAAACUUUGGAGACUGGAUUGCUGAAUCACUAAAUUAAAAUCCAACCAUACCUUUUCAGAAGAAACAAUGCAUGUAUAUAAAGAUUAUAGGACGUUUUCUAAAUCAAAUCUUAAUUGUAAGAAAUGGAAGAAUUUAUGAUGCUGCUAACCACCUCUGGUUGUUUGCAUGUUGCAAAAAGUACACGAUACAAAUGCGUUUGGAUAUAUGAUAAUUGAACUGAGAGUUAGAAGAUUUUUUUGUUUUCGUCCAUGCAAGAUAGUUUUACACACAAGUCACAUGUUCGACGUUUUUUCAAUAUUUGGGCAUAGCUGACAUUUUUCUUAACCAUUGGAAUAUACACAGACGCUGAUACUUAAAAAUGGCAGCUAUUUUUUUCUUCACUGCUGGUAAAGGUACAUCAUUUAUCUGUGUUAAUUUCCAGAAAAAUGAAAGAUGCUACAUAACAGAAGAAGUAUUUUGAUUUGCUUAUAAUUGUACAGCAUCACAUAACUUUGAUAAUUCAAUAAUUUCAACCGUCUUUCUAUUUAUUUACGAAUUGAAUAUUAGUUUGGCUUGUUCACUGUUUUGCGAGUGAAAUUGGUAAAGCAUUUUGAUGCACAAAAGAUGUUAAGGUUACUGUAAAGGAAAAAACUCACUUGAUGAGUAGUCUCAAUGGUAAUUUUCCAAAAAGAAAAUAUAAUGAAAUAAACACACACCAAUUUUUCUUCACCGUACGUUUUAAAAUGGCUUCUUUUUCCGAACGCGUGGUCGCAGACUUCUCGUUUUCGCACCAUUAUAUUCAGCACGAAUUAAAUUCAAAAAGGUUCCCGGUUUUUUUUUUCUAAUAACGUUGUUAUGAAAUUAUUUGUAAUUAUAUAUAAUCAUUCAAAAAAAUGCAUAUUUUUUUCUUUCUGUCGUCAUAAUUCGCUAAUCAGUAAUUUAUACAAAAAAAUCCGGGAACCUUUUGUGCAUAAUUUAUUCAGCUUUUCAUUACCGAAAAUUUUAAUGGGCCAAUAGGAAGCUUUUGGAAAAAGAGACCACAAACGAAAAGGCAUGUAUGCGAAAAUUUACUAACGAGAUAUUUGUUUUUAAAGAUUUUCGUAGGUGUUAUAAAAAUGUGUGAACUGAGUAUGCAGAAAGAUGAUAGAAGUGCGAACUUUUUCUUUAUGCUGAAUAUGCGUGCACGCGUUCAGAAUUAUUAAUAGACAGAAGUCAGGUUUACAGGAGACAGCUCAUAUGCAUAUUCCUUAACUUUGAUUUUUUUUAAUUCGAUAGUGAAAGUUAACUAUCUAAAAAAUAUUAUUAUGCAUAUUUUUAUACGGGAGUUCCAUAUUAUGCACAAUGUUUACAAAAAGUAUGCUCAACUCAUUUUGCACAUAUUUUUUCAAAGGUGUGAAGGAUAUAACACCUCUAAAAAGGCUUUUUCCAGAAAAAAGGGAUGUUCCAAAUAUUUUCAUAAAAUAUAAAAUAUGUCAUUGGAAAGAGAUUUUUUUUUUCUGUAUGUCAUGAAUUUUUUGCAAAAAACCUAAAAAAAAAAUUGUUUCCUUUACAGUAACCUUAAGGAAAUUAUUAAAGAAUUGCCACACAUGAAACUAAGGCCUUUUUGGCACCAGCAUGUAUGCAGUAGAAAGUAACAUACAGCUUGUAUUUGUUUUUUAUGUUACCUUAACUUAUAGCGGAAAUGGUGUAGUGGUAGCGCAUUCGACUUGUAAUCAUAAGGUUUCAGGUUCGAGUCCGCACUCCGGCGCACUUUAAAUGCAGUGUUGUCAGCCCGUUUGGUGCCAUCUUUUGUCCGCUAACCGGCUUGUGUGGCAGGCAAGCAAGUUAGAGCAAUGCUAUACGUAUCUCCGGCGGUAAUGUAACAAAGUUACAGUCGGAGGGGAGAAAGAACCAACCGUUAGGUCCCCAAGGACGUUAAAACUUCCCGUUACUGAGUUACUUACUUACCUGAAAUACAUAUUCAGUAUUUUCUGAACUCUUUGACGUUUACGUUCUAAAAAAAUAUUCCAAUCUAUGGAAAUGCAUGUGAUAACAAAAACGUUUCUUUAUAAGUAAGUCUAUGGUAAAUUUGUUUUCUCCAAAAAUCCUAAAUUUGUUCAUAAUUAUGCUUCUUGUUUGUGCAUCCCUAUUUAGUGUUUUCUGUUUGUUUUUGUUCAAUUGUUGAGUUCCUUCAUUGCAGCAAUUUUAGGUUGAAUUUCUGAGUUCUUCGUUUAAUCUAUCUUUUUUACUUCUAAAAUUACCAAGAACUCCUUUAAAAGUGAAUUUAAAAAAAAUUGUUGUUAUUUAUUUUAACCUUCCUGGUACAGGUGAAGUUCUAUAAAAUGACCUGUUUCUGUCUGUCUGUCUGUCCGUUACCAAUUUUUUUUUUAAAAAUUAAGCUUUCUCUGAUUUUUUGCACGAAGUUAGAGAACAAUGAAACCUCAAUUGUUACAACGUUCGAUUUUAUAAAAAAAAUCUUAUCAGCUCAAAAAUGCGAAAAAUGAGCAAGAACGUUCCAAAAAACGGUUUUUACGACAUUUUCAGGCUUUGAUCUAAUUUCUAAUUUUUGCACAAUGACAGGAAACAAUGUGCUGAAGACAGUUGGUGGAUUUGUAGGACAUUUUUUAGGAUUUGAUUAUCAGUGCAUUCUAAUUUGUUGCACAAUCAUGACCAUCAAAUGUGACAAAGUCAGUUAUUUUCGAAUAAUAGUGAAUUCGUACGCAAAAUGAGUCCAAGAUUUAAAAAUAUGGAUUUUGGCACUUUCUGACGAUUGGACUAUUAGUCUUUUGUGAUGUUUUAUAUCCAGGUAGGUCUGUUGAAGUUCUUGUUUUUAUAUUAAGCAUGUUGUACUGCAUUUAAAUUUUAGAAUUGAUACAGAUUGUGAGAUGAUUUCCACAGAAAAACACAACGUGAUUGUUCAACAAUUAUGGAGUGUUAUGAGUAAUUAGUUGUUGACGUCAUACAGUACCACAGCGAGGCGUGUUUGAGUUGACGCAUUGUUCGAUGCUGCAUGAAUAACAACGUGGUAUACACCACUACAUUGUUCGUAGUUUUCAUUUUUUAAUCUAAUAUUGAUUUAUUAUGAUAAUUAUGAUAAUUAUUCAAUUAUUUCUUUGGUGCUUUAUAUUUUAAUUAGGUACUUGCAAAAGUUAGCUAUCUGUUAUUUAACACUGUUCCGUUUUUUAAUCCUGUGCAGUGUAAAUUCCGAUCUUAGUGGAAUAAUAUUCUGUUUCAUCUACGAAAUUGUCUACACACCAUCAAAUUUUAAAUGUCAAAGAGCAUUUAGUAUUUUCACAAGUUGAAGAGAAUGUUAUGUCUAUUAUAAUCAGCCUUCAACGUUUUAUUUGUUAAACAAUUUUUUAAAAAAACUAACACAUUAUAUUUCUGCCGCAAAUACCGCAUGAUGAUCAUAUCAUUGGCAACCAGGCUAAAUUACAACGUUGUAUUGUAAAACAGCACGUUGUACCAUCAUGCAUUUAUGAGUUUUUUUUACCUCAGUGUUCAUGGUUUGUGCAUUGACCAUAAUGCACACCUUUUCUGGGAAUAAUGUUUUUUAAGCACGUAAGUUCUACGUGUGAGUAAUUUGCUUUUUUUUCUCCAAUGAAGCAUACCUCUAUGUGUGUUCAAAUUUUAAAUUCCCUAGUCGAAGCUUAAUUUAUCAUUAGCAAGAGGGUCAUCGAACAACUGACUCCUAAGUGAGGGGGGAAGGGAGGUGUCAUCGAACAACCGACUCUUGAGUGAAAGGGGAAUGUCAUCGAACAACUGAACACUAAGUUAUGGAGGGUGAGGAAGGGGUCAUCGAGCAACUAAGUACUAAGUGAGGAAGGGUGUCAUCGAACAACUGAGUACUGAGUGAGGGAGGGCGUCAUCGAACAACUGAGUACUGAGUGAGGGGGGAAAUGUAAUCGAACAACUGAACACUCAGUGAGGAAGGGGAUCAACUGAAUACUAAG